CAUGAUCGUUAAAUGUUGCCCAGUUGACAGAAAGGCAGGAACGAACCUGAACACGUUUCCAGAGGCAUGUUUUUUCUCAAUCAGUUCAUUUGAAAGUUGUGUCUUUACUAAUUACUCUGAGCCCUGCCUGUCAAGAAGUAACACUGAAGCCCAGGAACAAAGUCCACGUUGGAGGACUGUCACCUACUUUUACUGGAUUCAACAAUUAGUUUCAGCCUCUGCAGAUAUUUCUCAAAUAUCCCAGGCAUGAAAAGGUGUUGGUGAUGGUUUACUUCAUUAAGUGCAUAGCUGUGGACCAUCAGGACAAGAUUAUGACUGACUAGAUAGGAGAACAUCACCCAAGGAUCUUGGACUUGGAGCUGGAGGCAGGAAUUAAUGCGACUCGGCUUCCCUUUUGGGGAGAGAGGCCUGAACCACCAUGAAAUAACUCUGAUUACCUUACCGGAGGGACCCUGUGGAAAGAUUACCUGAAGAGGGAGAGAGACCUUGUUGUCAUAAUGUCCCCUUAUCUGAAGAGAUGUCUCCAGCCUCUCCUGUCAUAUGCCUGUAACCCCAUGAAGAGGCCCCAGAUGUGACCAGUGGAAGAGCUGCCCACAUGAUCUCAGACAACCUACAGAAUCACCAGAGGGUCAUCCAGUGCUCUCUAUUGGUGAAACUUAAAAUUCUGCCACCUGAUAAAGGAGAAGCUUUUGCAGGAUCCAAGUUCAGUAUCACAAAGUGCAGGGCAAAGAAGAGUGGAUUUGGAAUGGAGAGACAAUAAAUUUAUAACUUGCACACUUUA